GGGCCGAUCUUUUUGGCGUUGGAGAACGCGGUGGAGGAGUUGGAGACCUCGGUGGAGGAGUUGGAGACCUCGGUGGAGGAGGUGGAGACCAUGGUGGAGGCGGUGGCGGGGUCGGUGUGGCCACCGCUGGUGUUGGUGGAGAUCCAGCAUUGUCACCGCCCGCAGCACUAUGAUGCGCUGGGGAGAGAACUGGACUUAGGUUGGAGGAGUCCCUGCAAAGAAAACAAUUACAAGUUUUGUGAGCAAACUUUUUUUAAUUUCAAUACAUAAUAAAUAAUAUAAGAAGUAAAAUCACACACAAACCUAUGCUGAGGAAUAAUUAUGAAGCGCUUGCGCCAACAAAUAAAUGUCUUCUCAGCUUCACCUAAUGUCUUCUCUCCGUCUCCCCCUUCUAUGUCUAGUGGCACAUUGCCACAACCUUUCUCAACCCUAUCAACCGAGACGCUAGCAUAUCCACCAGGUACUGGUCGAUUAUGGAUUCUUGGAGUUCUCGUUCGGUCGAUAGGGUUGACAACAGCGAUAGCCACCUUUUUGGUGGCAUUCCCAUCUGGUACAUGCAGCUCACAGGUAGUAAAAGCCUCUGUGACAUCAUCCACGGGGAAGUGUAGCUUCGUGUCAUCCUGAAUGGUUGGUACUUUCGUGGAUGCGCAGCUGCUUUUCAACUGGCCUGGGGGGCUAACAUUGACCUCAGGCUGUGAUGUACCUUGCCCUUUCGUCAUUUGACUAAGUGCUGCUUGCACUUGCCUUUGAAUCUCUGUCUGCAUCCAUUCUUCACGAGCUUUCUCGCGCUCUUAUGACUGCAGAACAAAAGCUUCCAGGCGGCGGAUCCGCUCUGCCUCCUCAUCCUUCUUUCUCUGGCGGCUUCUGUAGGUAUCUUGAUCGGCUUGGAAUGAUUGCAGCCACGGAACUGCCCCAUAGCCUCUUGUACGCCCACCGUGCUCAGGAUUUUCAAGCGCAUAGGUGAGUUCAUCCUUCUCCCUGUUAGGCCUGAACUCACCAGACUGAACCGCCUCUCGUGCACGGACUAGUCUCUCUGCUGCUCUAGAGAUUUCUUGGCCCCAAACUAGCGCCCCGGUGUCUGGGUCCAUGCUUCUCCCAAGACCGUAGAACCAAUGCUUCGAGCGCUCGCUCCAAUUCUUUGCUAUUGUCUCGCGUGUGACCCCCCUAGCAAGCAUCUCCUGUUCCAUUCGGUCCCACUUGGGAACAGCACUCUUAUAACCACCUGAUCCCAUAUGAUGGUGGUAUGUCUUUUUACUGGCAUUCUCUUUGUUUCUAUUGGCUCGUUCCUCGCCCUCUUCUGAUGUUUUGUACUGCACAAAGUCAUCCCAGAAGGCCCUCAGCUUUACAUAUUGCUUGAGGUUGAAAUCUGGAGUCUCGUUUUUUGACAUAUUUAUUGUACAAAGACUUCUUCCAAUUCUGGAAGAGUACUGCCAUCUUCUUCAUAGUCCAGUCAUAAAUUCGCACCUUCAACUCUUCAUCGUUGGUGUCGAAGGUGAAAACGUCUGUGACGGCUUUCCAAACUAACUCCUUGUCACGAUCAGAGACAAAACUGAUCUCAGGAGCACCUCGCUUCUCUCUCCAUUCACGACAACUGAUCGGUAUUUGAUCUCUCACAAGAUAUCCACAGUGACUAACAUAUUUGUUUGCAUGCUCACCAAGUGGUCUACCUGUAGCUAUCUCAAACUCAGAGAUUACAUAACGGCCCUCCAACGGCUUCUUUGGCCCUCGUGGAGGUACGCUUCUCCCCGUAGAGGUCGAUCCAGAAGGCUACACGUACAUAUAGAAACAAAAAUACUAAAUUAAUAACCAAGUAAUAAGUCUAGAACCUAAUGUAAGAGAUGCAUUAAUUAUAUAUGUUUACAUUUACAUACCACACCAGUAUUUUCUUCUUGUUGCACGACAAGUUGUUGCUCAGGGGCAUUGCCCUCUUGUUGCUCAGGGGCAUUGCCCUCUUGUUGCUCAGUAGGAUUGCCUUGCAUGAUGUCGUGGUAAUCAACAAAGUACUGACUACCGUCGUCGAUCAUAUUUAAAAUGGCAUCUUCCAUAUAAUCAGGAUCAUCAUGACGACGGUCAGCCAUUUCUAUGUCUGCAACCAUAUAUAUAUAUAUAUAUAUAUAUAUAUAUAUAUAUAUAUAUAUAUAUAUUCUAUAUAAGUCCAUACUACUACAAAUGAAAGUGUUGGAGUGCUCUAAAAAUAAUACUAGGAUCUUUUAAGCCAAGUAAUACAUUAGAAUAAAAAACAAUACUAGAAUAAUAUAUAGUACAAACAAAAAUAUAUACAAAACCCUACUAGAAUAAAUUUGGUGGCUAAACACUACUAGAACAUAUAUUAGAGACUUAUAUACUACUACUAGUACUACUACAAAUGAAAGUGUUGGAGUGCUCUAAAAAUAAUACUAGAAUCUUUUAAGCCAAGUAAUACACUAGAAUAAAAAACAAUACUAGAAUAAUAUAGUACAAACAAUAAUAUAUAUAUUAAAAAAUAAUACAUACAUACAUACAUACAUACAAACAAUUAUAAUUCAUACAUACAAACUAUAUAUGUGUGUGUAUAUAUAUGUACAAAAAAUAAUAUACAUACAUACAAAAAAUAAUACAUAUAUACAAAAAAUAGAACAUACAUACAUACUAUAUAUAUAUACUAGAAUAAUAUAUUACAAAAAUAAUACAUACAUACAUACAAACAAUUAUAAUUCAUACAUACAAACUAUAUAUAUGUGUACAUACGUAAAAAAAAUAAUAUACAUACAUACAAAAAAUAUUACAUAUAUAUACAUAAAAAUAUAUACAAAAAAUAAUACAACAAAUCAAAACACCAUAUAUACAUAUAUAUAUAUACAUAAAAAUAUAUACAAAAAAUAAUACUACAAAUCAAAACACCAUAUAUAUAUAUAUGGUGUUUUGAUUUGUAGUAUUAUUUUUAUAUAUAUUUUUAUGUAUAUAUAUGUAAUAUUUUUUGUAUAUAUAUUUCUGGUCUAGCUAGUGUAUAUAAAUACAUAAUUAAUCAAUGGCGUUCUCGAUCUAUACUUAGCAAGGCCGCCCGGAGAGAUCAAGAAGAUCGACGUGGGAUGAUGUGUGGCCCGCGCGCUCGAUCUGGCCGUGGCCCGCGGCGGCGGCGUUGGAGGAGGGCCGCGGCGGCGCUGGUGGAGAGCCGCGGCGGCGCUGGUGGAGACGGUGGUCGCGGCGGCGAGGGAGUCGAGAACGAAACGACGGCGGCGAAGACGAUGAACCCAGCGGCGCUGGAACGAAGACGAAGACGAAAGAACUGCCGGAUCCAGGGCGCCUAUGGCUUAUAUAGGGACGGACCCUUUAGCACCGGUCUGUGGCUGGAACCGGUGCUAAAGGGUCUUUAACACCGGCUGGUAACAAGAGCCGGUGUUAAAGGGUGACCCUUUAACACCGGCUCGUGUUUCAAGCCGGUGCUAAAGGGACCCUUCAGCACCGGUUCCAGCCACGGACCGGUGCUAAAGGGUCCAGAGCGCGCUAGGACGGGCUCCUGAAAUUUUCAGGACCCUUUAGCACCGGUUCCCACUAUGGGCCGGUGCUAAAGGCCUAUUUUUUUAGUUUAGGGUUUUUCAAUUGUUUUAUAUAUACAGUUUAUAUUAUAAAUUGUAUAGUAAAUUAAAUAUUUUGCAUAAUGUUUUUUAAAUAGUGACAUAUAUUGUAAUUUGUUUUAAUGUACACAUGAAAAAUUUUAAACUUAAAUAUCUUAUUGUAUUUUUAUAAUUUGCAAUGAUUUUGUAAGAAAUGUUUAGUAUUUUGUUAAUGCAAAAAUAUAUUAUUCCAAUAAAUUUACAAAAACUAUAUCCAAUGAACUGGAAAUUUAUUUUCACAUCAUAUUGACGUAAAACUUUUUAUUUUUGUUAUUUAUUAUUAGGAAUGCUAGUUGAAUAUAAUUUUCAUCAAAUAAAAAAUCAUAUAAAAAUAUAUAUCUUGAUGAACACACCCUUUGACCGAACCCUAGAUUGUCCCAAAUGGAAAAGUCAUGAAUACAAAGUUUGCUACACUCAUCAAGUUCUACAUUUUGUCUAAUGGUCAACUUUUCAUUUGGAAAAGUUUGAACCACUGAAUUUUGAAUUUUCAUAGAACUCAUAGCCACGCAGCGGUUUCGGAACCCUAGAUGGUCUCGAAUGGAAAAGUCAUGAAUACCAAUAUUGUUCCACUCAUCAAAAUCUACAUUUCAUAUAUAGACCAUUUUUGCAUUUGACAAAGUUAUGGGAAGGUGUAGUUGAAAAUCCACAAUUGACACAUGUAGUCAUGACAAUUUUGGGAAGGUGUAGUUGAAAAUCCACAAUUGACACUUAUAGACCAUUUUUGCAUUUGACAAAGUUUUGGGAAGUUUGUUACACACAUCAAAAUUCACAAUUCUCAAAUAUAGUUUCAUACAAAGUCAAGCCGACACAACAGUGAACUUCUUCUUGACGUAUGACCCUUGGUUAUGAUCCUGCCGUAACCAUGGAGUAUCCUCAUUGUUUAACAGAAUGCUUGGGUCUUUGUUGACUAUGAAGGGCGGAAUUCGAUCAUCCCUUUCGUAAUCGCCUGACAUGUCUGACUUGUCCUCAAUUCCGACAAUGUUUCUUUUCCCAGAAAGGACAAUGUGGCGCUUUGGCUCAUUGAUGAUUGAGUGGUCAUCAUUUUUUCCUCUCUUUGGUUUCGUAGACAUAUCUUUGACAUAGAACACCUGACUCACGUCUGCAGCAAGGACGAAUGGUUCGUCUUUGAACCCACUAUUGUUAAGGUCCACGGUUGUCAUCCCAUACUCCUUGUCGACUGUUACCCCACCUCCGGUCAUCUUCACCCAUUGGCACCGGAACAAAGGAACUUUAAAAUUAGCUGUAUAGACUAGUUCCCAUAUGUCUUCUAUGCGUCCAUAAUAUGUUUGUCUGUUUCCAUUUGGAUCUGUGGCAUCCACGCGUACACCACUAUUUUGGUUGGUGCUACUUUUAUCUUGGCCAACUGUGUAAAAUGUGUUACCAUUUAUCUCGUACCCUUUGUAUGUGAGGACAUGCCAUGAUGGUUGCCUGGCCAACAAAUAAAGCUGCUCAUCAAUGUUUUCAUCACCUUGACAUUUUUGCGCAACCAAUCGCCAAAAGUUUCCAUGUGCUGACGCAUUAUCCAAGCUUCAUUCUUCCCGGGCCACUGGGACCGUAGGAAAUCUUUGUGUACCUCAACAUAUGGUUCCACCAAUGAGGAGUUCUGGAGAACUGUAUAGUGUGCUUUAUUGAAGUAAUCGUUUCCCGUACCAAUAUAUGUUUUCCCUGGCCACUGGGACCGUAAGAAAUCGUUGCCUUUCGGAAGCAUCUUUUUUAUGAUCUUCAAUAACUGCUCAAAUGCCUUGUCAGAUGUACCAUUCUUUGCCUUCCAUUGCAGCAAUUUUAGUGUGGUACCCAGCUUUUUUUGCUCCUCUUCAGCGGUGGGAUAUAGCGAUUUCCUGUGGUCCUCUAGCAUGCGCUCGAACUUGGCUUUCUCUUUAUCACUUUCACAUUCUCUUUGUGCAUCACGAAUGGCAUCACCAAAAGCAUCAUCGCCCCGAUCAUCUUCUGCCGCCACCUCUUCUUCAUUAUCUUCCCCCAUUGCAACAUCAUUGAAGCCACCGUACUGAACAAUAAUAUUGGCAUGGUCCAAUUCUUCUUCUUCUUCACCUUCAUCCAUUAUAAUCCCGCUUUCUCCAUGUUUGGUCCAACAAAUAUAGUUUGGUACGAAACCAGACUUUAAUAAGUGUGAAUGAAGAGUUCUUGAGUUAGAAUAUUCCGUCAAAUUCUUACACACGGCACAUGGACAGCACAUGAAACCGUCUCUCUUAAGACUCAGCCACACUUAAAAAAUAGUGCACACCAUUAAUGAACUCUUCGGAGCGCCGAUCGGCAUUAUACAUCCAAUUACGUGUUACCAUCUGCAUUAAAUAUAACAUAUAUAUUAUGAAAACUAUGCACACCUAUAGUUUCUCAUUUUAUUGCACAACAUGUCUAAGAUACAUAGUUGAUUAAUUUAGGAAAGCUUGGCUACAACAAAUACAAUCGCAACUAGCACUAAAAAAACCAAAACUAAAAUGCACUUUUGAACCCGUUGAGAGACCGAAGACCCGGUCACGGUUGCCAUCUACUAUCUAUACUCAAUUUUUAAACAAUUAUAAAUUCCACAUUUAAACAUGUAUGAUAAAAUGGACAUUAUAUGUAGUAAUAAAAAUAAAUCAAGUGAUAUUAACAAACCAAUUAAUUUGAACUAUCCUACUUUCUAAUAUCAUAAAAAUAUACUAUAAUUCAUUCUUGCAAACUACAUUAAUACUAGGUCAACCAUGAAAUAUGAUAUAUAUAUAUAUAUGGAUACUAAUUCAUGUGAAAUGAUUCUAAAUAACAACGUGGAUUUGAGCUAAAAAUAAUGGGAACAUCACAAGCCAAAAACAACAUGAAAAAGACAAGAAAGACAAAAGUUAGUCACCUCCAAACACGAAGAAACGAUGACGGAGUCGAAGAAGAUCAACAAUGGGCGUCGGAGACGAAGAACAAAUGAGGAAGAAGAAGCUCCAAGAACAACAAUGGUGAAUGGUGCUCUCGGUUUCAAAUGGACAGAGAGGAGAAGUGAUCCGGCAUAUAAACCGGACCCUUAGAACCGGUUCACAAACAAAACCGGUGCUAAAGGGUAACACUUUAGCACCGGUUUGUAACACAAACCGGUGCUAAAGGCUUUGCCUCGGCCUGUGGCGCUGGCCGGUGCUAGCACCGGUUGGUAACACGAACCGGUGCUAAAGGGUCUCCGCCCCGACAGCACCUGUCAGUAGCCGUUGGACAGGACCCUUUAGCACCAGUUCGUAUUACGAACCGGUGUUAAAGGGGCCUUUAACCCCGGGCCGCAAAAAGGCCGAGGUUUUUGGCCAUUUUGGGCAUCGACCAAUGCCUAUUCUGUAGUAGUGAGAAGGAAACUCAUGAAACUACAAACCGCUUUGAAGAAAAAUGAAGCCUCUAAUAAAUGACAAUAUAAUCAAAAUUUAAUGGCCUAAAGAGAGAAUUAUCAGAAUCCAGGAAAAUGCAGCCUCUAACAAAAUACAAAGAGAAAUCGGGAAAUCAAAUUCCUCACCUUCAGUCGUCCUGGUGGACUACCGGUGUUCGGGAGUUGUGCCGGUACCGCUGCCGGCCGCUGCCCCUCCUGAUCUCCCUCGGUCGGCCACUGCCCUGUAGAUCCGGCAGCCACAAGGAGUCCCAAGCCACCAGCAGGCCCCCGCCGCCCCAACGUGGCCGCCAGGAGUGGAGCGCGCCCUGCCCUGCUGCUUCUCGCCUGGAGUGGAGCGCUGCCCCCUGCCGUCGUCGUUGGCCUAGAUGAAGAACGAAGAGGACGAGCCUCUUGCCCACGGGUUCGGACGAGCCUGGGGCCGGAGCGGACUUGCCCACGGGGCGCGGCGCGGCAGGGCUGCCGGAGCGGCCGGACCGAAGCAGCCGGGGCGCCGGGGCGGGCGGGCGGCCGGGCGGCCAGGCGGUCGACGGCAGGGGAGGAGGCGCGGGUGCGAGCUCAGGGCGCAGGGGAGGCGGGGGCGCAGGGCGCAGAUCGACGACGGGACUGCGGCGGCGGCGGCGGCGUGCUGCGUGCGGGAGUCGCGCUGUGCUGCGUGCGGUGGAGCCGGCGCUGUGCUGCGUGUUUCUUUUUUUUUUUUACAAAUUACUAUGCGUUGCCUGGUAGUAUAAGGUUGGCAUGGAUAUGGGCUGGGCUUUUAGGUUAAGUCCUUUGCCGACUGCUACCGGGAAAGGCAGUCGGCAAAGGCACGGUAUAUUUUAAUUAAAAAACCCUUUGCCGACUGCCUAGAAUUAGAACAGUGGGUAAAGAUUUUUUUUCCAAUUUAUUUGCAGCCUCAACUUGCUCAAAAAUUUUUGAAAUUUUUAUUAUAGGCUCCAGAUGUGAUUAAAUGAAACCUAAAAAAGUUUCGUGAUUUUCUUACCUCUUUGGCUAUAUUUCGUUAAUUUAUUUUGUUUAAUUGAAUUGUCCAUAGUAUAAUUCAACUUUGAACUGCAGGUUCAUGAAAUAAUAAAACCUAGGCAUUCGAAAAAUGAUAUUCAUGUUGAAUAAUGUAUUUUUAGACCAUAUUCAAAAAUUGACCUAAAAUUUUAAAGUCCAUGUCAACGGAACAUGCAUGAUCAUCCACGUGUGGUAGAAGUGAUUUUUAAUUAUAUAAAACUCAGUCGAAUUCGGAAAAUUAAGAAAACUUGUUGACGUGUCAUGUUAUCCGCAUGUGAUCACAUAUGAUCAUAUUGGAAAUGUCUGGUUUUUGUUCAUCUAAUACUGCAACUUGCUCCAAACUUUCUCAAAUUUUUUCUAUAGGGUCCACAUGUGAUAACAUUAAACCUCAAAAAGUUUUGUGAUUUUUUGACUUUUUUUGCUAUAUUUCAUUAAUUAAUUUCUUUAAAUUGAUUUUUCCGCUGCAUAAUCCUACUAUGAACUAUAGGUGCAUGAAAUAGUAAAACUUAGCCAUUCGAAAAAUGAUAUUCAUGUCGAAUAUUGUAUUUUUAGACCAUAUCCAAAAACUAACCCAAAAUUUUGAAGUCCUUGUCCACGGAACAUGAUCAUCCAAGUGGGGU
rnacentral:lncRNA from 1 species